rnacentral:rRNA from 1 species
GUCUAUGGCCAUGCCACCCUGAACACGCCCGAUCUCGUCUGAUCUCGGAAGCUAAGCAGGGUCAGGUCUGGUUAGUACUUGGACGGGAGACCACCUAGGAAUACCAGGUGCUUUAGGCA